rnacentral:lncRNA from 1 species
AUGGAAAACGAAAUAUAUGUUAAAAAUAAAAUGGCACAAAACAUACUGAUGAAUAAAGAACUAAACAUAUACAAUCCUAAUAUAAAUUUUAUAAAUUGUAUAAAUAAUAAUAAUAGAUAUAUUAUAAGCAAAAAUAUACAUCAAUCAAAAGGAGAGGAUAAUUUAUAUGAUCAUGUACAGGCAAAAGAUGAUGGAGGAAUAUAUUUGAUGGAGGUUAAUAAUAAUAGUAGUAGUAGUAAUGCUAGUGGUAAUAAUGCUAGUGGUAAUAAUGCUAGUGGUAAUAAUAGUAGUGGUAAUAAUGCUAGUGGUAAUAAUAGUAGUGGUAAUAAUAGUAGUGGUAAUAUUAGUAGUGGUAAUAUUAGUAGUGGUAAUAAUGUUAGUGGUAAUAAUAGUAAAGAAGACACCAAACAUAAUGACAGGGAUGCGACAAAACCGUUGUUAGUGACAACUGCAUCAACGGAUUCGUAUUUAUUACAAUCGUCGCUACCUACAAAAUAUAACAAUAACAGUUCGUCAGUAGUACCUAUAAAUAACAACAUAAACAAUAGUAGUAAUAACAAAAUUGAUGGUACAAAUAUACAACAUAGUUCGGUGUUAUACAAUGAAAAAAACGAGCGAAAUGAAAAAAACGAACGAAGUGAAAAAAACGAACGAAAUGAAAAAAACGAACGAAAUGAAAAAAACGAACGAAAUGAAACUCGCCAUAAUAGUACUUAUAAAAAUAGUAAAAGCCUGAAUGUAACAAAAAAAAACACAAAUGAAAACAAAAAUGUAAUAAAUCAAAAUUUAAUUAUUGAAAAAUUAUUAACAAGAGGAUUUAAAACAUAUACACUAAAAGAUUUUAUGAAUGUAAAAUUAACUGACAAUUUAAAAGAAAUAUUAAAUAUAUAUACAGAAAAUAUAUAUUUUAAUUUAAAAAUGGCAAAGGAACAAAAUGAAAAGAAACAACGGAUAAAAAGAAAAAAAAGAAAAAUACAAAAAAAAAAAAAUAUAUAUAUUCUUAUAUUGAAAAAACUUAGAUGGAUAACAAAUAAUGUAUAUCACUACUGUUGUUAUUACAACAAUAAGAGUCAUUUUGGUCGGUAUAAUUUUAACCGUAUUAAUCAGGUGUACAAUGUGAGUGAAAAACAAAGUAGUGGUGACGGUGGUGCUUUUGAUUUUAUGAAGAAAUACUUAUUCAGCACGGUUAAAGAUAAUAAAGCAGAAGUAAACCAGUCAAAAAGACUGAACAAGUCGAACAUGUCGAAUAUGUCGAAUAUGUCUAAUAUGUCUAAUAUAUCUAAUAUGUCUAAUAUGUCUAAUAUGUCUAAUAUGUCUAAUAUGUCUAAUAUGUCGAAUAUGUCGAACAAAUUAAAAAAAAUAACAAAAAUAGAAAAGCUAAAAAAAAUAGAAAAGUUAAAAAAAAUGGGAAAGUUAAAUGCUGUGAAAAAUGUAAAGAAGUUGAUCGACAAAACUGUGCAGCACUCUAACAAUUUAAAAAAAAAAAGAAUAAAACAGAAAAUGAAUAACAUAGAGGAAUGUAAAAAAAAUAUACUAAAUAAACAAAUGCAAAACGAAUGUAAAGAUAAUACCAUAUAUGAACCACUUUUUUCACUCACGUCAGUUGAUUCGGCUAUAUUAGGUGAUAAAACUUAUGCUGGUUUUGUUACAAACAGUGAUACGAGUUUAAAAAAAAACCGGGAGCAAAUACAUAACAAUGAUGCAGAUCGGGAGAAUUUAGACGAACUAGGUAUAUACAACCAGACAAACACAUUUUCAGAUAGUGACAAAAAGAAUGAAAACACUGAACUGGUUGAUGUAAAAUAUAUAGAUAAAAAAAAAAAAUAUAUUACUCAUAAACAUUCUACUCGUUUUCUUUAUUAUCAAAGUAAAUUUAUGCAAAAUGACUUUUGCAAGUAUAGGAAUUUAAAAAGCAAACAAAGUAGUACAAAUAUGGAUCUUCAAGAAAAAGUAAGAAAAACGAUUGAAAGAUAUCUUGAACACGUUCAUACACAUGUAAAAUUAUCAAAUUUAUUUAAUUUAUCAACUUGUAGAUUACAAAAACAGAGGUAUAUUGAACAAGCAAGAAACAUGAUGAGAAAAUGUUUAACAGACACAAAUAUACAACCUAAACUUAGUUCUACUAUAACGAAUAUGGCCACUAUAACCAAUACGAGAGUAACAAAAAAAGAAAGAAAAAAACAAAAAAAAAAAAAAAACAAAAAAGUUGCAAAAUAUCGAACAAGUGCAAUUAUUGAUUUUGGUGAUAAAAUUGUAUGGGUUUCGUUCGAAUUUAAAAAUUUGAAUAUGUUAAAAAAAAUAGAAAAUAAUAUUUUAGCACCCACUGAACUUAAUGGUAUAUUUUCACCAAAUUUUCCAAAAGAAAAAAUAGAAAUGUUAAUGACAACAGAUAUGAAUGUAUAUAAAUAUUUAAGAAUAACUGCUUUUAAAUUAUUAUCAUAUUAUGAAUUUGUAUUUUUAAAAAAUAGAUUAAAAUAUAUUAAAAUAGAAUAUGAACAAGAUAAAAAUAGAAACAGUAUAUCUACUAAUAGUAAUACUCAUUUUAAAGGAACUAUUUUUUCUCAAACUGUUGAUUUCUCUUUUAUAAACAAUGACAUAAUAACAUCUCCUUUAAAUCGUGCUGAUAAUAGUGAUAAUAAUAACGAGUUAAUUGAUAAUAAACAAAAAAAUGUGAAUAAUAAAAGUGGGUUAUUGUCAACAACAGUGGCUACAGAAGAAGGGUUUAAUAUUGCGCUAGAGGAAAGUAACAGUAGUACACCUUGUAACGAUAGUAGUAAUAACAUGGAUGNNNNNNNNNNGUGGUAGAAAUAAAAUGGAUAGUGGUAGAAAUAAAAUGGAUAGU